UACUUAGUGGCAGACGGGUGAGUAACAUGUAGGUAUCUGCCCUUUGGCCUGGAAUAACACGAGGAAACUUGUGCUAAUACCGGAUAAGUCUUUACGGAGAAAGCUUUAUGCACCAUUGGAUGAGCCUGCACUUGAUUAGUUUGUUGGUGGGGUAAUGGCCUACCAAGACUGUGAUCAAUAGCUGAUUUGAGAGGAUGAUCAGCCACAUUGGGACUGAGACACGGCCCAAACUCCUACGGGAGGCAGCAGUGGGGAAUCUUGCACAAUGGAGGAAACUCUGAUGCAGCGAUGCCGCGUGAGUGAAGAAGGCCCUUGGGUUGUAAAGCUCUUUCGUCGGGGAAGAAAAUGACUGUACCCGAAUAAGAAGGUCCGGCUAACUUCGUGCCAGCAGCCGCGGUAAUACGAAGGGACCUAGCGUAGUUCGGAAUUACUGGGCUUAAAGAGUUCGUAGGUGGUUGAAAAAGUUGGUGGUGAAAUCCCAGAGCUUAACUCUGGAACUGCCAUCAAAACUUUU
rnacentral:rRNA from 1 species